rnacentral:rRNA from 1 species
AGGACGAACGCUGGCGGCGUGCUUAACACAUGCAAGUCGAACGGUGACCUCACUUCGGUGGGUGAUCAGUGGCGAACGGGUGAGUAACACGUGGGUAACCUGCCCCUCACUCUGGGAUAACUCCGGGAAACCGGGGCUAAUACCGGAUACGAGCCUCGACCGCAUGGUCGGGGUUGGAAAGUUUUUCGGUGAGGGAUGGACCCGCGGCCUAUCAGCUUGUUGGUGGGGUAAUGGCCUACCAAGGCUUUGACGGGUAGCCGGCCUGAGAGGGCGACCGGCCACACUGGGACUGAGACACGGCCCAGACUCCUACGGGAGGCAGCAGUGGGGAAUAUUGCACAAUGGGCGAAAGCCUGAUGCAGCGACGCCGCGUGAGGGAUGACGGCCUUCGGGUUGUAAACCUCUUUCAGCAGGGACGAAGCGAAAGUGACUGUACCUGCAGAAGAAGCACCGGCUAACUACGCGCCAGCAGCCGC